rnacentral:rRNA from 1 species
AUUGAACGCUGGCGGCAGGCCUAACACAUGCAAGUCGAGCGGAUGAAGGGAGCUUGCUCCUGGAUUCAGCGGCGGACGGGUGAGUAAUGCCUAGGAAUCUGCCUGGUAGUGGGGGAUAACGUCCGGAAACGGGCGCUAAUACCGCAUACGUCCUGAGGGAGAAAGUGGGGGAUCUUCGGACCUCACGCUAUCAGAUGGGCCUAGGUCGGAUUAGCUAGUUGGUGGGGUAAAGGCCUACCAAGGCGACGAUCCGUAACUGGUCUGAGAGGAUGAUCAGUCACACUGGAACUGAGACACGGUCCAGACUCCUACGGGAGGCAGCAGUGGGGAAUAUUGGAUAAUGGGCGAAAGCCUGAUCCAGCCAUGCCGCGUGUGUGAAGAAGGUCUUCGGAUUGUAAAGCACUUUAAGUUGGGAGGAAGGGCAGUAAGUUAAUACCUUGCUGUUUUGACGUUACCAACAGAAUAAGCACCGGCUAACUUCGUG